GACAGAGGGUGCAAACGUUGUUCGGAAUUACUGGGCGUAAAGCGCGUGUAGGCGGCUAAGUAAGUCGGGCGUGAAAUCCCACGGCUCAACCGUGGAAGUGCACUCGAAACUGCAUAGCUAGAGUCCUGGAGAGGAAGGUGGAAUGCUUGGUGUAGAGGUGAAAUUCGUAGAUAUCGAGAGGAACACCGGUGGCGAAGGCGGCCAACUGGACGAACACUGACGCUGAGACUCGAAAGCGUGGGGAGCAAACAGG
rnacentral:rRNA from 1 species